GACGAACGCUGGCGGCGUGCUUAACACAUGCAAGUCGAACGGAAAGGCCCUGCUUUUGUGGGGUGCUCGAGUGGCGAACGGGUGAGUAACACGUGAGUAACCUGCCCUUGACUUUGGGAUAACUUCAGGAAACUGGGGCUAAUACCGGAUAGGAGCUCCUGCUGCAUGGUGGGGGUUGGAAAGUUUCGGCGGUUGGGGAUGGACUCGCGGCUUAUCAGCUUGUUGGUGGGGUAGUGGCUUACCAAGGCUUUGACGGGUAGCCGGCCUGAGAGGGUGACCGGGCACAUGGGGACUGAGAUACGGACCAGACUCCUACGGGAGGCAGCAGUGGGGAAUAUUGCACAAUGGGCGGAAGCCUGAUGCAGCGGCGCCGCGUGCGGGAUGACGGCCUUCGGGUUGUAAACCGCUUUCGCCUGUGACGAAGCGUGAGUGACGGUAAUGGGUAAAGAAGCACCGGCUAACUACGUG
rnacentral:rRNA from 1 species